UACGGGGGGGGCAAGCGUUGUUCGGAAUUACUGGGCGUAAAGGGCUCGUAGGCGGCCAACUAAGUCAGACGUGAAAUCCCUCGGCUUAACCGGGGAACUGCAUCUGAUACUGGAUGGCUUGAGAUUGGGAGAGGGAUGCGGAAUUCCAGGUGUAGCGGUGAAAUGCGUAGAUAUCUGGAGGAACACCUGUGGCGAAAGCGGCGCACUGGACCACAACUGACGCUGAGGCGCGAAAGCUAGGGGAGCAAACAGG
rnacentral:rRNA from 1 species